rnacentral:rRNA from 1 species
GUCUUCGAGUCGUUGAUUUCACACUGCCGAGAAAAGCCUCUAGAUAGAAAAUAGGUGCCCGUACCGCAAACCGACACAGGUAGUCAAGAUGAGAAUUCUAAGGUGAGCGAGCGAACUCUCGUUAAGGAACUCGGCAAAAUGACCCCGUAACUUCGGGAGAAGGGGUGCUCUUUAGGGUUAACGCCCAGAAGAGCCGCAGUGAAUAGGCCCAAGCGACUGUUUAUCAAAAACACAGGUCUCUGCUAAACCGUAAGGUGAUGUAUAGGGGCUGACGCCUGCCCGGUGCUGGAAGGUUAAGAGGAGUGGUUAGCUUCUGCGAAGCUACGAAUCGAAGCCCCAGUAAACGGCGGCCGUAACUAUAACGGUCCUAAGGUAGCGAAAUUCCUUGUCGGGUAAGUUCCGACCCGCACGAAAGGCGUAACGAUUUGGGCACUGUCUCAACGAGAGACUCGGUGAAAUCAUAGUACCUGUGAAGAUGCAGGUUACCCGCGACAGGACGGAAAGACCCCGUGGAGCUUUACUGUAGCCUGAUAUUGAAAUUCGGCACAGCUUGUACAGGAUAGGUAGGAGCCUUUGAAACGUGAGCGCUAGCUUACGUGGAGGCGCUGGUGGGAUACUACCCUAGCUGUGUUGGCUUUCUAACCCGCACCACUUAUCGUGGUGGGAGACAGUGUCAGGCGGGCAGUUUGACUGGGGCGGUCGCCUCCUAAAAGGUAACGGAGGCGCUCAAAGGUUCCCUCAGAAUGGUUGGAAAUCAUUCAUAGAGUGUAAAGGCAUAAGGGAGCUUGACUGCGAGACCUACAAGUCGAGCAGGGUCGAAAGACGGACUUAGUGAUCCGGUGGUUCCGCAUGGAAGGGCCAUCGCUCAACGGAUAAAAGCUACCCCGGGGAUAACAGGCUUAUCUCCCCCAAGAGUUCACAUCGACGGGGAGGUUUGGCACCUCGAUGUCGGCUCAUCGCAUCCUGGGGCUGUAGUCGGUCCCAAGGGUUGGGCUGUUCGCCCAUUAAAGCGGUACGCG